GCAUGGGGACACGGCCAGACGCCGUCCAGAGGGUGUUUAGUCCACUGAGGGGACGAGGUGCAUGGAGACCACAGUGAUCUCAUCACCGUCUCCUCAGGUGGGUGGUCCCGGGUGCUCCCUCUCCACAGACUGCCUCUCGUUCCCCCCAUCGGAGAACGUCACAAUUUUCCUUUUUUUUCCCCCACGUCUGGAACACUUUGUCAGAUGUAAUUGUACAUUUAUUUGCUUACUUGCUCUUUUAUUUUUUAGAUCUUUAUAUAUUUAUUCAUGAGACACAGAGAGAGAGAGAGGCAGAGAUCCAGGCCGAGGCAGAAGCAGCUCCCCACAGGGACCUGGUGCGGGACUUGAUCCCGGGACCCCGGGGUCACGCCCUGGGCCGCCUCGGCGCCCUGUCAUUUGCUUCAUCUGCAUCCCGCGCUGCAGCCACGCCGUGAGGGGAGGUGGUGGUCAGGGACACUCAGCGAGGGCCGGGCUGCACGUGGGUCACCGAAGGGCCCAGCGCGAGGAUGUGUGACCCCUCCUCCGGGGGACCGGGCCACCUCCACCCCGUGUGCGCCGCCAGGCUUCUGCCCCACUGAGCUGAUUCCUGCCAGGCCCCCGAGGCCGCGCGGGGGACAAGGACCCUGGACUCACCGUGGGGCCGGCCUGCUGGCACCCUCCUGGCCGGGUGCCCUUGAACUACGCCCUGGUCCCCUGCCACUAGGCCUGUGAACCGGCAUGACUUGACUUCAGCUCAGGUGUGCAAGCUUCUAUGGAUCUCGACGGCUUUCCGUGGCAUCAUCACGUCCAUUUGGCAUUUAUCCGCAGGAGGAGAUGGACCGUCCCUACAAGUACAAAGUCUGACUCAGUUACUUCUAAAGUCUUGUUAUUUUUUAACGGAAGCUGUUGACAGACAACCUACGGCAUUGCAGCUAGAGGAUUACGCGGAGCGUAAAAGGGGCUCGAAAAGCUGUGCGGUGGAUCUCAUUUUAAGCAAACACCCGGCGCUGCUCUGGAAAAAGCCUCGUCCUCUCCAAGGAGCCACUCGAGCUGGUCGAGCACUUGUUUCAGAGCUGUGUCAUCCCUCAAGGUGUCUCAGGCCUCCUCCCUUGAAACUGCCGUCAGAGUCUUUUGAACAUCCUCAAGGAAGGGAGGAAAUUUAAAAAAAAUAAAUAAAAAAGCGUAAUCCUUUGAGGAAGAAUU
rnacentral:lncRNA from 12 species